GCCCGUCCCUCCAACGUGGCCCUACGCUGGUGCACUGGAUGCAUGACGCGUGGCUCAUGCUGGAAAAUAAUCACGUGGAGCCAAUGCCGUUAAUCCAAAACACCGACGCCGACAGAGCGCAACAAAGCCAUCGGCAUAUUCCUCUGCAAUUCCCAACCUCCACCGCCCAGUGCAAGAACACGUCAGCCUCUAUAACGUCGUCGGCGGCUCCAUCUUCGUCAUGAAGGCCUCGACGAAGCCGGCAAUCUCGGCGCGGCGGUCCAACUCCGGUGGCACGACGUUUGGUAUAUAUGGAGCUUAUCCGUAUGUUCAGCGGCAUUGGCAGCGCAGCUCGCUCUCUAAUCCGAAGACGCAGUCGACCCACUGGUUUUCUUCUGCAUUGGAGAUUAUGUGGUUGCGGGGGAUUUUCUGAAAAUGAAGCUCAAAACAGAGCACAUGGAAUACAAGCAAUGGAAAACAAAUUUAGUAGCUGCCGGAUAUUUUCUUCUAUGUUGGAGAUUUUAAUGGCUGCUGAAAAUUUUAUUUUACUUUUGGAAUUUUGUUUUCAAAAAUGAACCAGCUAUUGAAAAUUUGAUAUCUUUCAAAAAAAUUUCCCGAUCCCAGCCUGACCGUGGGGCUGACAUCGCCGGCUUCGUUGAGUUGAGGCCAUCAUGACCAAGGUCGAGGUUGGGAAUCGCAUGAACGGCUUUGUUGUGCACUCGUGGGUGUUGGUGUUUGGGAUUUACGGCGUUGGCACGCGUCACGCAUCCAGCAGACCAGCAUAGGGCCACGUUGGAAGGACGGGCGCCGGGUAUAAUUUCCCCCACCACUGCGGUGACAGACAGUCCGUGGGCUUCUGCAAUGGACGAUUUUUUAUUCCCAAAAUACUACAAGCAGAAUCCAGUAAACAAUGCAAGGAAAUAAUCAAAUAAUAGUCAAUACAAGAACGUAAGUGUAGUGCAGGUAGCUUCAUUAUGUACAUUAAUUCUCCAUAAAUAAUCUUUGCAUCUACUAGUUAUCAUCUCUCCAUA